UCAUACUGCUUAGUCAGCCAGCCUUUCUUGA
rnacentral:piRNA from 1 species